rnacentral:rRNA from 1 species
CUUUCUUUUUUUUUUAAAGGCAACACACGUGAUACAAUGGCUCAUACAAAGAGAAGCGACCUCGCGAGAGCAAGCGGACCUCAUAAAGUGCGUCGUAGUCCGGAUUGGAGUCUGCAACUCGACUCCAUGAAGUCGGAAUCGCUAGUAAUCGUGGAUCAAAAUGCCACGGUGAAUACGUUCCCGGGCCUUGUACACACCGCCCGUCACACCAUGGGAGUGGGUUGCAAAAGAAGUAGGUAGCUUAACCUUCGGGAGGGCGCUUACCACUUUGUGAUUCAUGACUGGGGUGAAGUCGUAACAAGGUAACCGUAGGGGAACCUGCGGUUGGAUCACCUCCUAUAAACA